UAAUUUAAAGUCUAACCUGCCCAAUGAUUAUUUGAAUGGCUGCGGUAUUUUGACCGUACUAAGGUAGCAUAAUAAUUAGUUUUUUAAUUGAAAGCUGGUAUGAAUGGUUGGACGAGAAAAUGACUGUCUCAAUUUAAUUUAAUUAGAAUUUUAUCUUUAAGUAAAAAAGCUUAAAUAAUUUUAAAAGACGAGAAGACCCUAUAGAGUUUUAUAUUUUAUGUUUAUUGUAAGUUUAAAGGAUUUAAUAUUUAUUUAAAUAUAAAGUAUUUUGUUGGGGUGACAAAAAAAUUUAAAUAACUUUUUUUAUAUUGUUUCACUGAUUUAUGAGUAAG
rnacentral:rRNA from 1 species